rnacentral:misc_RNA from 1 species
UUGAUUCAUUUGUAUGAUUCACUCUGACGUCUGGUUGCGGUGCGAGUUGUGUGGUCCACCGGCGGGCGCUCUCCGGACGCGAGGUCCGGCGACCCCGAGGGGCCGGCCCGCCGAGGCAACGGUGUUUCUAAACUUCAGGAGGGUGGGAUGUUGGACCCCGAGGGGCCCGAACACUGUAAUGAUCCUUCCGCAGGUUCACCUACGGAAA